AGUGAACGCUGGCGGUAGGCCUAACACAUGCAAGUCGAACGGCAGCACAGAGGGGCUUGCUCCUUGGGUGGCGAGUGGCGGACGGGUGAGGAAUACAUCGGAAUCUACUCUGUCGUGGGGGAUAACGUAGGGAAACUUACGCUAACACCGCAUACGACCUACGGGUGAAAGCAGGGGAUCUUCUGACCUUGCGCGAUUGAAUGAGCCGAUGUCGGAUUAGCUAGUUGGCGGGGUAAAGUCCCACCAAGGCGACGAUCCGUAGCUGGUCUGAGGGGAUGAUCAGCCACACUGGAACUGAGACACGGUCCAGACUCCUACGGGAGGCAGCAGUGGGGAAUAUUGGACAAUGGGCGCAAGCCUGAUCCAGCCAUACCGCGUGGGUGAAGAAGGCCUUCGGGUUGUAAAGCCCUUUUGUUGGGAAAGAAAUCCAUCUGGUUAAUACCCGGGUGGGAUGACGGUACCCAAAGAAUAAGCACCGGCUAACUUCGUGCCAGCCGCCGCAGUAA
rnacentral:rRNA from 1 species